rnacentral:rRNA from 1 species
GCAUAUCAAUAAGCGGAGGAAAAGAAACCAACAGGGAUUGCCCUAGUAACGGCGAGUGAAGCGGCAACAGCUCAAAUUUGAAAUCUGGCUUUCGGGCCCGAGUUGUAAUUUGUAGAGGAUGAUUUUGAUGCGGUGCCUUCCGAGUUCCCUGGAACGGGACGCCAUAGAGGGUGAGAGCCCCGUCUGGUUGGAUGCCAAAUCUCUGUAAAUCUCCUUCGACGAGUCGAGUAGUUUGGGAAUGCUGCUCUAAAUGGGAGGUAUAUGUCUUCUAAAGCUAAAUACCGGCCAGAGACCGAUAGCGCACAAGUAGAGUGAUCGAAAGAUGAAAAGCACUUUGAAAAGAGAGUUAAAAAGUACGUGAAAUUGUUGAAAGGGAAGCGUUUAUGACCAGACUUGGGCUUGGUUAAUCAUCUGGGGUUCUCUCCAGUGCACUUUUCCAGUCCAGGCCAGCAUCAGUUUUCGCCGGGGGAUAAAGGCUUCGGGAAUGUGGCUCCCCUCGGGGAGUGUUAUAGCCCGUUGUGUAAUACCCUGGCGGGGACUGAGGUUCGCGCUUCUGCAAGGAUGCUGGCGUAAUGGUCAUCAACGACCCGUCUUGAAACACGGACCAAGGAGUCGUCUUCGUAUGCGAGUGUUCGGGUGUCAAACCCCUACGCGUAAUGAAAGUGAACGCAGGUGAGAGCUUCGGCGCAUCAUCGACCGAUCCUGAUGUUCUCGGAUGGAUUUGAGUAAGAGCAUACGGGGCCGGACCCGAAAGAAGGUGAACUAUGCCUGUGUAGGGUGAAGCCAGAGGAAACUCUGGUGGAGGCUCGCAGCGGUUCUGACGUGCAAAUCGAUCGUCAAACAUGGGCAUGGGGGCGAAAGACUAAUCGAACCUUCUAGUAGCUGGUUUCCGCCG